GCAGUCGAGGGGUAGGGGCUUUCGGGCCUUGAGACCGAGCGCACGGAUGCGUGACGCGAUGCGUCUGCCUUUCAAGAGGGAUAGCCCAGAGAAAUUUGGAUUAAUACCUCAGAGCAUUACCGGAUGGCAUCAUCCUGCAAUUAAAGUCACAACGGUGAAAGAUGAGCAUGCGUCCCAUUAGCUAGUUGGUAAGGUAACGGCUUACCAAGGCGACCAUGGGGAGGGGUCCUGAAAGGGAGAUCCCCCACACUGGUACUGAGACACGGACCAGACUCCUACGGGAGGCAGCAGUGAGGAAUAUUGGUCAAUGGACGCAAGUCUGAACCAGCCAUGCCGCGUGCAGGAUGACGGUCCUAUGGAUUGUAAACUGCUUUUGCACAGGAAGAAACACUCCGACGUGUCGGAGCUUGACGGUGCUGUGAGAAUAAGGAUCGGCUAACUCCGUGCCAGCAGCCGCGGUAAUACGGAGGAUCCAAGCGUUAUCCGGAAUCAUUGGGUUUGAAGGGUCCGUAGGCGGUCUUGUAAGUCAGUGAUGAAAGCCCAUCGCUCAACGGUGGAACGGCCAUUGAUACUGCAAGACUUGAAUUAUUGGGAAGUAACUAGAAUAUGUAGUGUAGCGGUGAAAUGCUUAUAGAUUACAUGGAAUACCAAUUGCGAAGGCGGUUACUACCAAUUUAUUGACGCUGAUGGACNANAGCGUGAGUAGCGAACAGGAUUAGAUACCCUGGUAGUCCACGCCGAAACCAUGGAUANNAGCUGUUGGGAGCGAUCUCACUGGCANGCGAAAUGAUCAUAUC
rnacentral:rRNA from 1 species